rnacentral:rRNA from 1 species
GACGAACGCUGGCGGCGUGCUUAACACAUGCAAGUCGAACGGAAAGGCCCUGCUUUUGUGGGGUGCUCGAGUGGCGAACGGGUGAGUAACACGUGAGUAACCUGCCCUUGACUUUGGGAUAACUUCAGGAAACUGGGGCUAAUACCGGAUAGGAGCUCCUGCUGCAUGGUGGGGGUUGGAAAGUUUCGGCGGUUGGGGAUGGACUCGCGGCUUAUCAGCUUGUUGGUGGGGUAGUGGCUUACCAAGGCUUUGACGGGUAGCCGGCCUGAGAGGGUGACCGGCUACAUUGGGGGCGGGAAUCGGCCCAGAAUGCUAAGGGUGGGGGCAGGGGGGAAUAUGGAACAAGGGGGAGAAGGCUUGGAGAGCAGCGCCGAGUGCGGGAUGGCGGCCUUAGGGGUGGAAACCGCUUUGAACUGUGAAGAGGCGGGGGUGACGGUAAUGGGGAAAGAAGCAGCGGGUAACAACGU